GGGGACGUAAAGGUUUCGACGGGGGUGGAGGAGCAUAGGAAGCGAGCCGGGGGGUCAUCAACCCGUUAGUAAGGUGAACCUUAAAUUAAAAGCUAAUAAUGAUAAUUACGCUUUAGCAGCCUAAGCGCUGCAUCUCUUGUUUAUCUAAGCCUGCGGGGUUUACUUGAGACAAAUUAGUGGGAUACCUGAGAGUCAAUUCUCGGAGACUUGAAUGGGAAAUUUAUCGAGAUCGGAUUAGGAAAGUUUGUUUGCGGACGUUUGUAAUCUAAAACUUAAAUCGUAGACUGCGCUCGGAGAUGCCUAUGUGGCUUUGCUUUCGGACAGGAGUUCGACUCUCCUCGUCUCCACCA
rnacentral:tmRNA from 1 species